rnacentral:hammerhead_ribozyme from 1 species
GUACUGCUGAGGAGUCUCAUAAUAGAACGAAACGACCAUCCAGUAC